GUUGGACUAGUAACCAGCAGGUAGACUAGUGGUUAGAGCGUUGGACUAGUAACCAGCAGGUAGACUAGUGGUUAGAGUGUUGGACUAGUAACCAGCAGGUAGCCUAGUGGUUAGAGUGUUGGACUAGUAACCAGCAGGUAGACUAGUGGUUAGAGCGUUGGACUAGUAACCAGCAGGUAGACUAGUGGUUAGAGCGUUGGACUAGUAACCAGCAGGUAGACUAGUGGUUAGAGCGUUGGACUAGUAACCAGCAGGUAGACUAGUGGUUAGAGCGUUGGACUAGUAACCAGCAGGUAGACUAGUGGUUAGAGUGUUGGACUAGUAACCGGAAGGUAGACUAGUGGUUAGAGUGUUGGACUAGUAACCAGCAGGUAGACUAGUGGUUAGAGCGUUGGACUAGUAACCAGCAGGUAGACUAGUGGUUAGAGCGUUGGACUAGUAACCAGCAGGUAGACUAGUGGUUAGAGCGUU
ensembl:lncRNA